rnacentral:rRNA from 1 species
CAGCAGCCGCGGGAAUACGUAGGUGGCAAGCGUUGUCCGGAAUUAUUGGGCGUAAAGGGCUCGCAGGCGGUUUCUUAAGUCUGAUGUGAAAGCCCCCGGCUCAACCGGGGAGGGUCAUUGGAAACUGGGAAACUUGAGUGCAGAAGAGGAGAGUGGAAUUCCACGUGUAGCGGUGAAAUGCGUAGAGAUGUGGAGGAACACCAGUGGCGAAGGCGACUCUCUGGUCUGUAACUGACGCUGAGGAGCGAAAGCGUGGGGAGCGGACAGGAUUAGAUACCCCCGUAGUCCCUGUCUCUUAUAC